UGGAGCCAUGUGCUCACUCGGCCCGCGUUUUCCCGCAGUGUUGUGAACUCUUGGCCACCCCUCGUCCGGAGACAAAGGUCGGACGACACAAUGUUGUGUGUCGAAAACCGACAAUGAAGACAUCAUUCAAACCCUUAUAAUAUUGUACGGGAAGAUAACGCGCGCGGGAUCCGUCGAUUCUGCGUGGCCAAUGGUCCGUGUAAGUUGCGAACCGGUUUCCGCGCGAUCGUCCGGGUGGUGAUAUUUUUUUUUUUUUACAUUGUUACCCACAUGCCCAUAUACCCGAGGGAGUCCUGAAUCAACAACGAAUGUUCAUCUCCAGCUGAUGAUUUUUCUAAGACGAAGCAUGCGGGACAGAUCUAAAAUGUUCUUUCCCAUAUAUUUUUUGUUUUUUGUGUAAAUCAGGGGUCCCCAACAUACAGCCCCUUGAAGUUUAUUGAACCGACCGACCAAGUCUUUCGUGGGAUGUUUUAAUACUGUCAAUUCAAGUCCGAAACCAUGAUUUGGAGUCUAUUAUGCUUGGAACCAACAAUACUGAUACCGAGUCAUUACAGUACUAGAAAGUUUAACCGACCAGUAAGAAAAGAACACAGCAGAAGCAAUAUCAAAAUUUAAGGUCGAUUGAAUCAUUGAUAAUAUACAUAGAUUGAUAGAGUAUCCUCCGUAGUAUCAGAACAAGAUACGGGUAUACUGAAUACUUCCGUCAGUGUUCUCUAUCACGAAAUUGUAUACACAUCGAUGAGUUGGCUCUAGAUAUGAGUGCUAUAUUUCUACAUACACUACACAAUAUGCAAUUAUCACUGCAGUGAAGUAUUCUGUCUGGUGGUUUUCAAAUUUAAGACAACUUCCUAAAAGCUAAAUCGUCGGAGGUUAUGCAAAUCGAUGCAAAAUAACGUGGCUCCUGAAUAUUGAUAAAUUUCUCAUUAAAUCUGUACAUAUAUGUUGUGGUGCGCAUUUCAAAUAACUCAAAUCACUUGAAAAACAUUAAAUGAAAUCAAACUUCAAGUGUAAUUACGUCGAUUAUUAAUAAACUUUAUCUAUAAAUUAUUUAACCUGAAAAGUGCUGCUAUUGCAGUCAAAUGGUCCUACCAGAACGGAUGGCUUUAUUUGAAAGCUGUGAUAAAUCAUUACAUUCCAAAAAUGAUUCUGAGCCGAGGACAAUUUUUAGACAAACGGAAAAUAUAUAUUUCAAGACAAACUUCUGCUUACCUAAUGGAUUUUAUGAAAUAAAAACUACUUGGGAAUAUUGGGAAUUAUUAAAAUUUACGUUAUCGAUAUUAUAAUAAUAUACAAAAUGUAUCUAUUAAAUUUUCAAUUUAUAAAAAAAUA